CCGGGAGGGGAGUGAAAUAGAUCCUGAAACCGCAUACAUACAAACAGUAGGAGCCUCGUUAAGGGGUGACUGCGUACCUUUUGCAUAAUGGGUCAGCGACUUACGUUUAAUGGCGAGCUUAACCGUAUAGGGGAGGCGCAGCGAAAGCGAGUUCGAACAGAGCGUUCAGUCGUUAGGCGUAGACCCGAAACCAGAUGAUCUAUCCAUGGCCAGGUUGAAGGUGUGGUAACACACACUGGAGGACCGAACCGACUAGUGUUGCAAAAUUAGCGGAUGAGCUGUGGAUAGGGGUGAAAGGCUAAACAAAUCUGGAGAUAGCUGGUUCUCCCCGAAAACUAUUGAGGUAGUGCCUCGUGUAUGACUCCAGGGGGUAGAGCACUGUUAUGGCUAGGGGGACAUGGCGUCUUACCAAACCAUGGCAAACUCCGAAUACUUGGAAGUUUGAGCACGGGAGACAGAGCACCGGGUGCUAACGUCCGGACUCAAGAGGGAAACAACCCAGACCGCCGGCUAAGGUCCCUAAUAUUGACUAAGUGGAAAACGAAGUGGAAAGGCUAAGACAGUCAGGAAGUUGGCUUAGAAGCAGCCAUCCUUCAAAGAAAGCGUAAUAGCUCACUGAUCGAGUCUUUCUGCGCGGAAGAUGUAACGGGGCUAAGUCAAUAACCGAAGCCGCGGAUUCACACUUAUGUGUGAGUGGUAGGGGAGCGUUCUGUAAGCCUGCGAAGGUGACUCGUAAGGGUUGCUGGAGGUAUCAGAAGUGCGAAUGCUGACAUGAGUAACGUUAAAGCGGGUGAAAAGCCCGCUCGCCGUAAGCCCAAGGUUUCCUGCUCUACGUUCAUCGGAGCAGGGUGAGUCGGCCCCUAAGGUGAGGCUGAGAAGCGUAACUGAUGGGAACAAGGUUAAUAUUCCUUGACCACCGCUGAAUGCGAAGGGGGGACGGAGUAUUGAAGAUCAUCCGGGUGUUGGAUAUCCCGGUUUGCGAGCGUAGGAGGCUGACAGGCAAAUCCGUCAGCGAAUCUCCGAGGCAAAGCAUCGAGCUCUCUUUUGAGCGAAGUGAUUGGAUGUGCUUCCAGGAAAAGCCUCUAAGCUCCAGUUCAGCGGGACCGUACCGCAAACCGACACUGGUGGGCGAGCUGAAUAUGCUCAGGCGCUUGAGAGAACUCAGGAGAAGGAACUCGGCAAAUUGACACCGUAACUUCGGGAUAAGGUGUGCCUUUGUAGCGUGGAGGGAGAAACACCCCGAGCGCGAAGAGGUCUCAGAUAAUCGGUGGCUGCGACUGUUUAUUAAAAACACAGCACUCUGCAAAGACGAAAGUCGACGUAUAGGGUGUGAUGCCUGCCCGGUGCUGGAAGAUUAAUUGAUGGGGUGCAAGCUCCUGAUCGAAGUCCCAGUAAACGGCGGCCGUAACUAUAACGGUCCUAAGGUAGCGAAAUUCCUUGUC
rnacentral:rRNA from 1 species